UUUCUUGAAGCUGGCAUUUGUGCAAGUCUACAGAUGCAUGCUCUUUUCCAGCUGCAGCUGCGCCAAUGAGAAGGUAAGUGCCCCAGCCCGCUCCUCCCGCUAAUGCUGGAAGUUAUCACCCUCUCUGAUCUGCUGGCCAGGCUCCUCAUGUGACUUUCCAGAACUUGUUUCAGUCGAAAUAAGCUGCUGUAACAGUGGCCAUUCUUUAAAUUCUUAAAAUUGACUCAUCUCAUUUUAGUGGAUGUUGGUUAGAGGCCACAGAGAGAAGGUGACGAGUGCAUACGGACAAGGUGCCACUUCAGUAACCUCUUCAACUGGUGCAGCUACAUCCUGAAAAGAAACAAGCCUAACAACGAUGUUUCCCAGCAGUCAAAAGUGUGCAGAAUCUGGCUGAAGGAAAAAGUGGGUGCUCUGAACUUCCAGCUGAAAACAGCCUGCCCUACACAGCUAAGUAAACUGUUAUUGUCAAGAAUGUGGGCACUCUCCAUUUUAUGCCAGGCUGUGUGCACGCUCCCUGCUAAAGCAUUUCCUUUAGCAAAACAAAUAAGCACCACAACGACAAAUACUACAACAAUCGGUCAAUUGAGAGACUGAAACACUACUUUGCCACAGUGAAUUUUCCACAUGAAAAACUCAGGGCCUGAAGAGAUGCUUUUACCGCAUCUUAUGUCAGCACCAUAUUUUCCCCGUGAUCCAGACCUCACAAGCAUUGCUUCUUAAAUUUCAGAAAACAGACAAGUUUUUAUGGUAACAUAUUAUAAUAUGUUUAAAUCUGCUCUCAUUCUCUCUUGCAUGACAUAAAUCAAGAAUCCUAUUGUUUUCUCCUGGUGGAAGCAUGGUCCUACCUGAAGAAGGCAGCAGGGUAUUUGCUCUGAUGGUCUUUCUAUACUUUGCAGAAGAAAAACAUCUCAAACAGAGCUGGAUGUCUAGGAACAAAGCAGAGAUUUCAGGCCAUGAGCCAUUGCCACCUAGUUUGUAUCACUCACUUAGAAAGUGUCACAAGGCACAGUGAUAUUUUUGCUCUCUUAAAAGAAAUGCACAUUAAAAUGGUACAUUCCCUAGUUAGUGAACAACCGUAUGAAAAAGUGUUCUUCUCUCCCCAGCUAGCAGCAGUGGCUCUGUGGUCAUUUGGUCUUCUUCUGUCUAAAAAACUACAGUACAUUCCUUAGUCCCAGCCACCUUGACCGCUGUCAGAGGAGAUGAGAUCAUUUAUACCACCAGUAAUGAUGUCUGCAGAAGCUCUUCUUUAGUGCCAGGUCAUAGUGCUGGUCUGGAUGAACUACGAAAAGGAUCUACAAACCAUUUAAACUUCUUACUGUUUUAAUUGGCUAUUAGAUAUAAGCCUUCACUCUCUUUCUUUGGCUUCUUCCUGAUAAAAGAAGAGAGGACCCUGUUGAGCUAUCUUGGUGGAGGAAGAUUGCACGAAAGCAGAAUUUUGCAAAAAAUCAUUAAAGAGAGAACUUAGAGCAAGAAGUGAGAGGAAAAAAAAAGAAAUAAAAUAGAAAUCUGAGGGAAGAGGAUGAAAAGGUAGAUCUGCAAACAUAAGACCAGUGGAA